CCUUUGAUAGCUCAGUUGGUAGAGCGGGGGACUGUAGAUCCCUAGGUCACUGGUUGAAAUCCGGUUCGAAGGG
rnacentral:tRNA from 1 species